CCUGCCCUUGACUCUGGGAUAAGCCUGGGAAACUGGGUCUAAUACCGGAUAUGACCAGUCCUCGCAUGAGGUGCUGGUGGAAAGAUUUUAUCGGUCUUGGAUGGACUCGCGGCCUAUCAGCUAGACGGUGAGGUAACGGCUCACCGUGGCGAUGACGGGUAGCCGGCCUGAGAGGGUGACCGGCCACACUGGGACUGAGACACGGCCCAGACUCCUACGGGAGGCAGCAGUGGGGAAUAUUGCACAAUGGGCGCAAGCCUGAUGCAGCGACGCCGCGUGCGGGAUGACGGCCUUCGGGUUGUAAACCGCUUUCAGCAGGGAAGAAGCUUUUGUGACGGUACCUGCAGAAGAAGCGCCGGCUAACUACGUGCCAGCAGCCGCGGUAAUACGUAGGGCGCGAGCGUUAUCCGGAAUUAUUGGGCGUAAAGAGCUCGUAGGCGGCUUGUCGCGUCUGCUGUGAAAGCCCGGGGCUUAACCCCGGGUGUGCAGUGGGUACGGGCAGGCUAGAGUGCAGUAGGGGAGACUGGAAUUCCUGGUGUAGCGGUGAAAUGCGCAGAUAUCAGGAGGAACACCGAUGGCGAAGGCAGGUCUCUGGGCUGUUACUGACGCUGAGGAGCGAAAGCAUGGGGAGCGAACAGGAUUAGAUACCCUGGUAGUCCAUGCCGUAAACGUUGGGCACUAGGUGUGGGGGACAUUCCACGUUUUCCGCGCCGUAGCUAACGCAUUAAGUGCCCCGCCUGGGGAGUACGGCCGCAAGGCUAAAACUCAAAGGAAUUGACGGGGGCCCGCACAAGCGGCGGAGCAUGCGGAUUAAUUCGAUGCAACGCGAAGAACCUUACCAAGGCUUGACAUGGACCGGAUCGCUGCAGAGAUGUAGUUUCCCUUCGGGGCUGGUUCACAGGUGGUGCAUGGUUGUCGUCAGCUCGUGUCGUGAGAUGUUGGGUUAAGUCCCGCAACGAGCGCAACCCUUGUCCUAUGUUGCCAGCACGUAAUGGUGGGGACUCAUGGGAGACUGCCGGGGUCAACUCGGAGGAAGGUGGGGAUGACGUCAAAUCAUCAUGCCCCUUAUGUCUUGGGCUUCACGCAUGCUACAAUGGCCGGUACAGUGGGUUGCGAUACUGUGAGGUGGAGCUAAUCCCUA
rnacentral:rRNA from 1 species